rnacentral:rRNA from 2 species
CACGUAGGGGGCGAGCGUUGUCCGGAUUUAUUGGGCGUAAAGCGCUCGUAGGCGGCUCAGUAAGUCAGGUGUGAAAACUCCAGGCUCAACCUGGAGACGCCACCUGAUACUGCUGUGGCUAGAGUCCGGUAGGGGAGCAUGGAAUUCCUGGUGUAGCGGUGAAAUGCGCAGAUAUCAGGAGGAACACCAGUGGCGAAGGCGGUGCUCUGGGCCGGAACUGACGCUGAUGAGCGAAAGCGUGGGGAGCAAACAGG